rnacentral:rRNA from 1 species
CGAGCGAGCGAUGAAGUUUUCGGAUGAUUUGACUGAGCGGCGGACGGGUGAGUAACGCGUGGGUACCUGCCUCAUACAGGGGGAUAACAGUUAGAAAUGACUGCUAAUACCGCAUAAGGCCGCAUGGUAAAAACUCCGGUGGUAUGAGAUGGACCCGCGUCUGAUUAGCUGGUUGGUGGGGUAACGGCCUACCAAGGCGACGAUCAGUAGCCGACCUGAGAGGGUGACCGGCCACAUUGGGACUGAGACACGGCCCAAACUCCUACGGGAGGCAGCAGUGGGGAAUAUUGCACAAUGGGGGAAACCCUGAUGCAGCAACGCCGCGUGAGUGAAGAAGUAUUUCGGUAUGUAAAGCUCUAUCAGCAGGGAAGAAAAUGACGGUACCUGACUAAGAAGCCCCGGCUAACUACGUGCCAGCAGCCGCGGUAAUACGUAGGGGGCAAGCGUUAUCCGGAUUUACUGGGUGUAAAGGGAGCGUAGACGGCAUGACAAGCCAGAUGUGAAAACCCAGGGCUCAACCCUGGGACUGCAUUUGGAACUGCCAGGCUGGAGUGCAGGAGAGGUAAGCGGAAUUCCUAGUGUAGCGGUGAAAUGCGUAGAUAUUAGGAGGAACACCAGUGGCGAAGGCGGCUUACUGGACUGUAACUGACGUUGAGGCUCGAAAGCGCGGGGAGCAAACA